CUCGCUUGUGGUGAGGCGCCCAACUUUGGAAUAUUUGCACGAAGAAGCUCGCUUGUGGUGAGGCGCCCAACUUUGGAAUAUUUGCACGAAGAAGCUCGCUUGUGGUGAGGCGCCCAACUUUGGAAUAUUUGCACGAAGAAACUCGCUUGUGGUGAGGCGCCCGACUUUGGAAUAUUUGCACGAAGAAGCUCGCUUAUGGUGAGGCGCCCAACUUUGGAAUAUUUACACGAAGAAGCUCGCUUGUG
rnacentral:lncRNA from 1 species